CUCUCACUUGGAGCCUGGGGAUGUGGAAUAAGGCUUUCCCCAGGGGCAGCUGCUCCUCCAGCAGGGCGGCUCUCUCACUCUGCGAAGGGGCGUCGUUUUCUACCUUCUGCAAACUGGCUCUUAUUUCUUCCAGGGUUUAUCCAUCUCUUGGGUCUGUGAGAAAACCUCAACAAGGUGUAACACACAUAAUCAGGCACAUCCGGCAGCUAGCAGGCCCUCAGAAAACAUCCUUCCAGUCCAAGACUACAGCCCCUGGCAUGAUGCUCAUUCAAGUGAUCUGUAGCCACUUGUUCUCAUGGAGACCAGGGUAGAAAGAAGAAGGCCAUGAGCAGUGUGCUGGGCUGAAGCAGAGAUGAAUGCACACAGAGCAAUUAAGGAGGGGGGUCUUCAUUCUGGAUACCACGGUAACCAGGGUGUUCUCCCAGACAGCGAAUGUUGUUGCCCAGCUGCUCUCAGGUUUUUCUUAAAUCUUUCAUAUAUUCCUAAAAUGGUGUUUUUGAUAUGUAAAUAACACCCCACAUGCAAACUUCUUAUUUAAAAAGUAGAACAAAAAAAACAAACAAACAAGGAUACCGCAGUUUCCUUUAUAUCCCACCCCUUUACCCAAAUGAAUGAUCACCGCUCCUCAGCUUUGUUUUCUCCGUACCUCCAAUAGCUUCGUUAGAAAACAAAACACUUUAGAUACUUAAUGAUAAAGUUAAAACACACAAGAAGGCAGCAUUCUAAUUCAACAGUCGUUUAACUAAAAUUAUCUGCAAAGAAAGAGCAGAAAAGAAUCCCUGGUAUAAUGGAAAGAGGCAAGAUAUGCUGCUUUGGGUGUUCAUUUUAUUAAUUCAUCAACGUAACUCAUUACACACACACACACACACUGGUUUGUGAAAUGCUCAGAAUAAGCGUUAAAUACGUUUCCAUUUUCAAAUUGUGUAAAAACCCCAUUCCCAGUUAGACGAUUUAUAGAGUAUCCACCAUUAAUGACAUCAUGCAACUAUCACCAUGGCUAGAGCAUGGAGGUUGAAAGAACAUCAAUGUGUGCAAAUCUUUCCUAUGCCACCUAGUAACUAGGUCAUCUCAGGCACAUUAAAAAUCCUUCCCAAGUCUUGGUUUCUCUACUUGCCAAAUGAAUGUUGUGAAGACUGAAUGAGGUACCUGAACUGCCCUGUACAAUGUUUGGCAUGACAGAAGGCGUCUUUCGAAUGCAGGCAUACCUGCUUCCCUAUGUCCCUCUCGCUCCCUAACUCAGAGGUUGCAAUGACCUUAUUUGUCUUGUGCUGCUGUUCUUAGAGGAACAGUCUUCCUCUAUGGAAAGACCCAGUGAGAAAAAACAAAAACCCAAAACUCCCGCCAUCCCAGUUUUCUUAGCCCUUGCCUUUCCUAAGAGAAAGCAUGAAGAAAGACAGCCCUGGCAGUUCUAUAGCCACUAAUCUAUAGGGGUUAAACACUCCUCAAGGCUUCUCCCGACAUCCUCAGGCCUGCCAGGGCACGAACUCUGGCUUCAGAACCUUCUUUUUGGUCCCUUUACGGCUUUAUGGAAAUAACACCUCUUACUCAUUUAAGGCAGAAAUCGUCAAGUGCUCCUUUAGCUGGCUCCACUGGGGCCUGGGAGGAAGGCAGUAAGGAAGCGAAACACUAGAGUCUUUCCAAAGAAGAAUGUGCCAAACAUGUGUCCUUAGUUCCAGACAAGGCUAAGCAGCCUGUGGGGAAGGAAGGAGCAAGGCCGGAAAGUAACUGUGAGUCCAACCGCCUGGACAGGCUGAGAUGAGAGGAAGCGACUCAUCAAAAGGUUAUCCAGAGCCAAAGGAUCGGUUUCCCCGUGGUUCCUCUCAAGGAAAAGCCUUGGACAUCUGUUCUGGAGCAUCCAGUCUCUUCGCCCUCCCCUCUCCCUCCUCUCCGCUUCUCUUUUCACCCAGCUUUCUCUUGAAAGUGUGCUGCAGCCCUGGCGGCUCACACCAGCGAUCUGAAAAUACCUUCCCCAGGGAAACAAUCAAUUCUGAAACUGCUUUCUCCCCUCUAAACCACAUCCUCUAGUUGGUGGUCCAUCUUCAAGCUCAAAGGCAUAGCGUUCAGAUUCAGUGUUGAUCGGGACUCUUUACAGAUUCUGAGUUUUCAAUUCAGUCCACAUCAAGACAUUAAACGGCCAGUGAUGGCCGCCAUUGCUUGUUCAAAGAACUCAUGUGAGUCACAGAGAGCUCUACGUUUGCCCCGGUCACUGUCCCCUCACUGUGAUAGAGGGGAAGCAAGAAGCUGCUUGGCACCUACGUUAAAGGGAAUUGAUCCACUGCCUUCUUACGUGUCGGUUCAGAUACUCAUGGUCUGACUGGUCCUGUUUGUUGCAAGCCUUGGGUGAUGGGGAAGAGAUGGAUCAAAAUUCUCACUCUCUGCUUCUGGGAGACAGGAAGGGACCAUUGACCCUGGGAAGCAUUUUUUUCUGCUACUUGAAAUAUGCAGUAACCACUCUCCCUCUCAAAGAAAACCCGUAGACACUCAUGUCCAGUGCUUAUCCUUCCCAGGCCUCUCCCGUUGUCCUUUCUUACCUUGUAUAUGAUGAAGUUGCAAGCCCAGGCUCAACAUUAGUAGCAGGCGGAACAUGGUCUGUAUCAAUCUGAAAUAGACAAUUGAGCAUCUCUCAGGGUUUGGUGAGCGUUCUCAGUCUCUGCUGGGCUUACUAAUCCCACAAGCACGGCAAUGACUCAGAUACAAAUCUUGUGGGAGACACGGGUGACUGCAGAAGGAGCAAUGGCAAGAAAAGAAGCCGUCGGUGGCCGUCGGUGCCUUUUCUGGAGAAGAGGAUAUGCACAAGGAGGAAGAAGGCACUUUUUCUGAAUUCAAACAAGAUGCUCUUCCUCCUUUUUGCAUGGCCCUUUCUGGAGAUCAGCAUGGAACUCAUCAGUCACCAGAUGGGCCUCCCAUGUCACAUCCUAAAGUUUAGUCAGUAUCAAAAUCUUGAACCCCAGCCUUGUUUAUCAAAUAAUAAGCCAUCUGCUCUAGCCCGACUGGGACUUGGGGGGGUGGGAUCAGAGCGGGUACCCCAAUACUUUCUAGUUGGUUGAGCAGGAAAGCACGGAGCACUUGAGGCUGCGACCCAACAUGCCCAUUGUGUGACGCUCCCCUUAAUGAGUUUUCCAAUUGUUAUUUUAUUUAUUUAUUUAUUUAUUUAUUUAUUUAUUUAUUUUUGGAAACAGGGUCUCACGUUGUCUAGGCUGGCCUCUACCUAUGCAGCAUAGACUGACUUUGAACUCCUGAUGCUCCGCUUACACUUCGGCUAGGGACUAGGAUUAAAGGCAGGUGCCUCCAUGACUGAACUACUUCUUAUUGUUUUGAAUACAUUAAGUGGAGAUAAUUUAUUGCUUUUUCUAGCACAUACCUCAAAGAAGCUUAUUAAAAUCUGUACGCCGAAAAUGUUUACAUUCAUGUUACAAAAACUUCAUUAGCUAUCAGUUUCAUAAAACAAUGGGUUUCAUUGUGACUCUUCAUAUAUGUUUAUAAUGUGCUUUGAUUAUAUUUAUUCCCAUUACCCUA